CCCUGGGGAUAACAGGCUUAUCUCCCCCAAGAGUCCACAUCGACGGGGAGGUUUGGCACCUCGAUGUCGGCUCAUCACAUCCUGGGGCUGUAGUAGGUCCCAAGGGUUGGGCUGUUCGCCCAUUAAAGUGGUACGCGAGCUGGGUUCAGAACGUCGUGAGACAGUUCGGUCCCUAUCCGUCGCAGGCGUAGGAAAUUUGAGAAGACCUGUCCUUAGUACGAGAGGACCGGGAUGGACGUACCUCUGGUGUACCAGUUGUUCUGCCAAGGGCAUGGCUGGGUAGCUAUGUACGGAAUGGAUAAGCGCUGAAAGCAUCUAAGCGCGAAGCCAACUUCAAGAUAAGAUUUCCCACCGCAAGGGUAAGACCCCAGAAAGACUAUCUGGUUGAUAGGUCGAAGGUGUAAGUGCAGCAAUGUAUUUAGCUUAUCGAUACUAAUAGGUCGAGGACUUGACCAAU
rnacentral:rRNA from 1 species